AUUGAACGCUAGCGGGAUGCUUUACACAUGCAAGUCGAACGGCAGCGCGGACUUCGGUCUGGCGGCGAGUGGCGAACGGGUGAGUAAUGUAUCGGAACGUGCCCAGUAGCGGGGGAUAACUACGCGAAAGCGUAGCUAAUACCGCAUACGCCCUACGGGGGAAAGCAGGGGAUCGUAAGACCUUGCACUAUUGGAGCGGCCGAUAUCGGAUUAGCUAGUUGGUGAGGUAACGGCUCACCAAGGCGACGAUCCGUAGCUGGUUUGAGAGGACGACCAGCCACACUGGGACUGAGACAGGGCCCAGACUCCGACGGGAGGAAGCAGUGGGGAAUUUUGGACGAUGGGGGCAACCCGGAUCCAGCCAUCCCGCGUGUGCGAUGAAGGCCUUCGGCUUGUAAAGCACUUUUGGCAGGAAAGAAGCGUAGCGGGCUAAUACCCCGUGGAACUGACGGUACCUGCAGAAUAAGCACCGGCUAACUACGUG
rnacentral:rRNA from 1 species